UCAAUUGGUAAGGUGCCUGCCUAGCGUGC
rnacentral:piRNA from 1 species